GUCCAACUUACCCUUGGUUUUCGUGUCCAACUUUGACUGUCCGUUUUAUAUGAAGUUUUUUUAUAAUUCGUAGAUGAUAAAAUAUGAUUAAUAUUUUAUACGUGACUUGUCUUUUUAAUUUUUUUUAUAAUUUUUUUAAAUAAGAUGGACGAUCAAAUGUUAGAUACGGAAAUCAAGG
rfam:Oryza nivara chromosome 4, whole genome shotgun sequence.